AUUGCUGCCACGCAACAACUACAUCAAGCUUUAUGAGGGUCUUUGUUAGAUGGUCUGAAAGUUAUAUAAACACUCUUUGUGGGAUAAGUUUUGGAGACUAAAUGAAUAGUCUUUUUAGGAUGGAGGGAGUAAUUAAUUAGAAAUUUAGAUAAGUGUCCAAUUAUAAACAAUUAUUUACUUUGUAUAGAUAAAAGAAUAACCCUACCGAGCCAUGUAUAGUCUUGAUCGUUCAAAAACUAAUCUUCAUGUAAUACAUCCACGAUAAACAAUGGACGGCGUUUCUAGACUACUCAGAAACUCACGAUGCAUAGGUAUAUG
rnacentral:lncRNA from 1 species